rnacentral:rRNA from 1 species
UACGUAGGGGGCAAGCGUUAUCCGGAAUUACUGGGUGUAAAGGGAGCGUAGGCGGCAUGGUAAGUUAGAUGUGAAAGCCCGGGGCUUAACCCCGAGGAUUGCAUUUAAAACUAUCAAGCUAGAGUACAGGAGAGGAAAGCGGAAUUCCUAGUGUAGCGGUGAAAUGCGUAGAUAUUAGGAAGAACACCAGUGGCGAAGGCGGCUUUCUGGACUGAAACUGACGCUGAGGCUCGAAAGCGUGGGGAGCGAA